AGGAGACUUUUCUUUCCAUUCAUGCUGAACUUGAUACAAAUGCAGCACUCAAGGAGAAAGGAUAGCAUUGUGAACCAUUGUGCCAUCCAGUUUUUCACAGGAAGAAUUCACAUUUCCAUUCAGAUUUACCUGUCACUGCUGUCAAUUAUUUACUCAACUUCAUCUCACAGUUUGUCUUAAAGUUUUCAGCUGGAAAUCUAAAGGAACCGUGGGAUUCUCUCAACUAUCUGAUUUGCAUCCUGGUUCUACAACUGGAUACCGUUGUUGGGGGGGAAGGGUGCACAGCAUCUCAGGGGAGUAUAACAGCAGCAGCCAGGUCUGUGGUACCACAACUGACUCUGCUGUAGAGCAGGGGGCAGAACCACAAAGGCCAACCUUUUAGAAAGGACAAGUUGUUUGAGCAAUAAGCUACACAAACUUUAACUCAAAUAUGAAACUGCAAACAGACGCUUAACCUUCAACACUUCAAGGAGAGGAUGGGGGUGGGGGCAACGUGGAUGGACAGGCACAAAUUGUCCCGUGACAGAGAAUGUGUGAG